AGAGGCUCUGCUGCACGAUCUUGCACACCUCCUUGUCGGACAGCAGGGCGAGCUGUUCUCGGGUUCCACAUGCCUGCUAGGAGCGCCUCUGGGAUCAGCUACCUCCUCUCCACGCUGGGGAUGGAGUCUGGCUGGCCAUUGCUGACCAGCUGAGUCCUGGAGGGCAGUAAAGACGCUGUCCAGAAGGUGCUUCUCAGAAGUCCUGGAAUUCACGGAGCAGCCUAGAGCAGCAUCUUUGGCCUCUGUCUCCACUCUCACUUCUUAGAAGUUCUUCUACAUCAAUUUUUUUUGGAGAUGGUUCUGACUCUGUCACCCAGGCUGGAGUGCAGCAGUUGCUCAGAGCUCACUGCAUCCUUGACCUCCCAGACUCAAAAGAGCCUAGCUACUUAGGAGUAGCUAGGACUACAGGCCACGGCCACCAUGCCUGGCUAAUCUUUUAAAUUUUUUGUAGAGGCAGAGGUCUCUCAUUGUGUUGCCCAGACAAGUCUCAAAUUCUCGGGCUCAAGUGUUCCUCCCAAAGUGCUGGGAUUAAUGGCGUGAGCCACUGUACCUGGCCAUAUUUUUUUUUUCAAAAAAUUCAUUUGUAGAGUUUAAAAAGUAUCUUUUGAUCAAGAGUUCUUAUUGUAUUUAUGUUUGCAAAUUUCAUUUCCCAUUCUGUUGCUUGCCUUUUCACUCUCAGUGAGUUAUUUUAUGAUUACAAAUCCUUAUUUUUUAUGUUAUUUUAUUACUAUUUAUUAACUUAUUUAUCUUAUUUAUUAGCCUUCAAUCGUUACUUUUUGAGUCUUUUUUAAAAUCUUAAGGUCAUAGAAGUGUCCUCUGUAUUACUUUUUAAAAACUGUACUGUUUUAUGUUACACAUUGGCUUCUAUAUGAAAUAAUUUUUGUGUAUGUUGUGAGGUUGGAUGUUAAUAUUCAUUUUUAUCUGUACCGAUGUAUGAAAGACAGCACAAUUUAUUGAAAAUGAAUCUUUUCCUCAUUGUACUGAAGCACUAUUUUUUUCACAAAUCAGCUAAAUAUAUUGUGUGGUUCUCUUUACGAGCUCUCUAUUCUGUUUCAUUGAAAUAUCUAUACUUGCACCUUUUCCAUAAUGUCAUAAUUAAUAUACAUUUAUAAAAACUUUAUAUCUAAUAGUGUAAGUCUUCACAUUAUAUUUUUUCUUCAAAGUUAUCUAUACACUGCAUUUUUAUUUGCAUUUUAUAGUCAGUUUUUCAGUUGCCACCAAAUAUAAUGCAGACAAAUUAUGCUAUUACUAAUCACAGUAUUGUGAUUUUCAGUGUAUUACAAAUAUAGAUUUAUUUAAAAUACUGAAUCUUUCUUCUAAUACCAGGAAUGACAUAGGACUCACAGUACACCUUUAUUUCUGUUGAAUAUCUUUAAUUUCUCUCAGUAAAAUUUCACAAUUUUCAGUAAAGGGAUUGCAUAUGAUAUGUUACAUUUUAUAUUAGGAAUUCAAUGUUUCUUCCUGGAAACAUUUCAGAUUUUUAAUAUUUUAUUUGAUUUAGACUCACUACAUUUGGAAAGCUUUAAUUGUAAUUUUAUUUUUAAUAGAUAUAGAGCUAUUAGGAUUUGCUAUUUAUUCUUG
rnacentral:lncRNA from 1 species